CCAAGUCCCCCAAUGUUUGCUUAAUUUAAUGUAGACGGAGACCUUUGAGUUUUAAAAAUUGUUACACAAACUUUUUUUAUAGAUAAGUAUACAUACUUAGGAUAUAAAUGAAGCUAUUCAAUAAGAAAUAUAAGUGGUGAAUUGCGCAUUGAUAGAGAGUUCGAUUUCUAAAUGAAACGGAUCUGUGCUAGGUCAUGGUUGACUAUGGUGACGAAAUUGUAUUAUUAGGCAAUAUUUAUCCAAAUAGGGACCGUGUGAACCAUUUCUGAAACCAAUGAGUUUCUUAAGAGUGGCAGAAGUAUUUUAACGAUCAUAAGUUUUGUUUGUAGACGUGAGCCAACUCCAAGUUUAUUAUUGUGCAAGAUCGGAUUCUUCUUUCCCAUCUUCUAUCAAAAGCUUUGAUGCUAUGAUGACUAUGCGUUUUAAUUUACUGUAUGCAACUACAGGUAUAAUCGUACUUGUCUUCGUGUAUAAUCGUAAUCGUAAAUUUCAUGCGUUAAUAUUUUAUUCAUUUUGUAAAAAAUUCUGGACUGACUAUUUCGAUGAAGUAGAGUGCGUGUUGAAGAUUUGUUUAUAAAAUGAAAGGUGUCGGUUGAAAAUAUUUUUAUAAGAAAAAAAAAAAAGAAAAAGUAAAAAGAAGAAAAGUACAUAUAUGCCAAUGAGUAACAAGGUGGCAUGAAAAACUUUAGGAAGAAGAACAGACAAGCCAACAAACAUUUUCCAAUGAGCAAGAUAAGAAUCGUUUCUUCCAUUCACGUGGAAAAAGCAUGCAGUUUGGAAAGUAUAAACAUCAAUAUCUCUUCCUUUCUCCCUUUUUU
rnacentral:lncRNA from 1 species